rnacentral:rRNA from 1 species
GGGAAAGMUUYMKCGGUAUGGGAUGGGGUCGCGUCCUAUCAGCUUGAYGGCGGGGUAACGGCCCACCRUGGCUUCGACGGGUAGCCGGCCUGAGAGGGCGACCGGCCACAUUGGGACUGAGAUACGGCCCAGACUCCUACGGGAGGCAGCAGUGGGGAAUAUUGCACAAUGGGCGCAAGCCUGAUGCAGCGACGCCGCGUGCGGGAUGACGGCCUUCGGGUUGUAAACCGCUUUUGACUGGGAGCAAGCCCUUCGGGGUGAGUGUACCUUUCGAAUAAGCACCGGCUAACUACGUGCCAGCAGCCGCGGUAAUACGUAGGGUGCAAGCGUUAUCCGGAAUUAUUGGGCGUAAAGGGCUCGUAGGCGGUUCGUCGCGUCCGGUGUGAAAGUCCAUCGCUUAACGGUGGAUCCGCGCCGGGUACGG